rnacentral:rRNA from 1 species
CGCUGGCGGGCAUGCNUAACACAUGCAAGUCGACGGAANCGAUGUUAGCUUGCUANCAGGCGUCGAGUGGCGGACGGGUGAGUAAUGCAUAGAAUCUGCCUUUUAGUGGGGGAUAACUUGGGGAAACCCAAGCUAAUACCGCAUAAUCUUUACGGAGGAAAGCGGGGGAUCUUCGGACCUCGUGCUGAAAGAUGAGCCUAUGUCAGAUUAGCUAGUUGGUGGGGUAAAGGCCUACCAAGGCGACGAUCUGUAGCUGGUUUGAGAGAAUGAUCAGCCACACUGGAAUUGAGACACGGUCCAGACUCCUACGGGAGGCAGCAGUGGGGAAUAUUGGACAAUGGGCGCAAGCCUGAUCCAGCAAUGCCGCGUGUGUGAAGAAGGCCUGCGGGUUGUAAAGCACUUUCAGUUGGGAGGAAAGGUAUUGUGUUAAUAGCACCGUCCUGUGACGUUACCAACAGAAGAAGCACCGGCUAACUCUGUGCCAGCAGCCGCGGUAAUAC